UACGGGGGGGAGCAAGCGUUGUUCGGAUUUACUGGGCGUAAAGGGCGGGUAGGCGGCCACCGCAAGUCAGUUGUGAAAUCUCUGGGCUUAACCCAGAAAGGUCAACUGAUACUGCGGGGCUAGAGUGCAGAAGGGGCAACUGGAAUUCUCGGUGUAGCGGUGAAAUGCGUAGAUAUCAGGAGGAACACCGGUGGCGAAGGCGCACACCUGGCCCGAUACUGACGCUGAGGCGCGAAAGCUAGGGGAGCAAACGGG
rnacentral:rRNA from 1 species